CCUACGGGGUGCAGCAGUGAGGAAUAUUGGUCAAUGGUCGGGAGACUGAACCAGCCAAGCCGCGGGAGGGAUGAAGGUACAGAGUAUCGUAAACCUCUUUUGUCAGGGAACAAAGGCGGGGACGUGUCCCCGGAUGAGUGUACCUGAAGAAAAAGCAUCGGCUAACUCCGUGCCAGCAGCCGCGGUAAUACGGAGGAUGCGAGCGUUAUCCGGUUUUAUGGGGUUAAAAGGGUGCGCAGGCGGUCUGUUAAGUCAGCGGUCAAAGCCCGGGGCUCAACCCCGGCCCGCCGUUGAAACUGGCAGUCUCGAGUUGGAGAGAAGUAUGCGGAAUGCGCGGUGUAGCGGUGAAAUGCAUAGAUAUCGCGCAGAACUCCGAUUGCGAAGGCAGCAUGCCGGCUCCACACUGACGCUGAGGCACGAAAGCGUGGGUAUCGAACAGGAUUAGAUACCCUUGUAGUC
rnacentral:rRNA from 1 species